UACGUAGGUGGCAAGCGUUAUCCGGAUUUAUUGGGCGUAAAGCGAGCGCAGGCGGUUCCUUAAGUCUGAUGUGAAAGCCCACGGCUCAACCGUGGAAGGUCAUUGGAAACUGGGGAACUUGAGUGCAGAAGAGGAGAGUGGAAUUCCAUGUGUAGCGGUGAAAUGCGUAGAUAUAUGGAGGAACACCAGUGGCGAAGGCGACUCUCUGGUCUGUAACUGACGCUGAGGCUCGAAAGCGUGGGGAGCAAACAGGAUUAGA
rnacentral:rRNA from 1 species